GACGAACGCUGGCGGCGUGCCUAAUACAUGCAAGUAGAACGCAGUUGCGAACGGGUGAGUAACGCGUAGGUAACUGCCUCAUAGCGGGGGCUAACUAUUUGAAACGAUAGCUAAUACCGCAUAUUGUGUGAUUUACCUGCUUUGUUUUAGCUAGUUGGUGAGGAAAAGGCUGAACAAGUCGACGAUACAUAGCCGCCCUGAGCGGGUGGUCGGCCACACUGGGACUGAGACACCGCCCAGACUCCUACGGGAAGCAGGAGUAGGGGAUCUUCGGCAAUGGACGGAAGUCUGACCGAGCAACGCCGCGUGAGUGGAGAAGGUUUUCGGAUCGUAAAACUCUGUUGUGAGAGAAGCGGUAACUAACCAGAAAGGGACUGAUAACUACGUGCCAGCAGCCGCGGUAAUAC
rnacentral:rRNA from 1 species